rnacentral:rRNA from 1 species
GGUAGUCCACGCCGUAAACGAUGUCGACUUGGAGGUUGUGCCCUUGAGGCGUGGCUUCCGGAGCUAACGCGUUAAGUCGACCGCCUGGGGAGUACGGCCGCAAGGUUAAAACUCAAAUGAAUUGACGGGGGCCCGCACAAGCGGUGGAGCAUGUGGUUUAAUUCGAUGCAACGCGAAGAACCUUACCUACUCUUGACAUCCAGAGAACUUAGCAGAGAUGCUUUGGUGCCUUCGGGAACUCUGAGACAGGUGCUGCAUGGCUGUCGUCAGCUCGUGUUGUGAAAUGUUGGGUUAAGUCCCGCAACGAGCGCAACCCUUAUCCUUUGUUGCCAGCGGUUAGGCCGGGAACUCAAAGGAGACUGCCAGUGAUAAACUGGAGGAAGGUGGGGAUGACGUCAAGUCAUCAUGGCCCUUACGAGUAGGGCUACACACGUGCUACAAUGGCGCAUACAAAGAGAAGCGACCUCGCGAGAGCAAGCGGACCUCAUAAAGUGCGUCGUAGUCCGGAUUGGAGUCUGCAACUCGACUCCAUGAAGUCGGAAUCGCUAGUAAUCGUAGAUCAGAAUGCUACGGUGAAUACGUUCCCGGGCCUUGUACACACCGCCCGUCACACCAUGGGAGUGGGUUGCAAAAGAAGUAGGUAGCUUAGCCUUCGGGAGGGCGCUUACCACUUUGUGAUUCAUGACUGGGGUGAAGUCGUAACAAGGUAACCGUAGGGGAACCUGC